rnacentral:rRNA from 1 species
CGUAGGGUGCAAGCGUUGUCCGGAUUUAUUGGGUUUAAAGGGUGCGUAGGCGGCCCUGUAAGUCAGUGGUGAAAUACUCCAGCUUAACUGGAGGGGUGCCAUUGAUACUGCAGGGCUUGAGUUAAGUUGAAGUUGGCGGAAGUUGACGGUGUAGCGGUGAAAUGCUUAGAUAUCGUCAAGAACACCGAUAGUGAAGACAGCUAACUAAACUUUUACUGACGCUGAGGCACGAAAGUGUGGGGAUCAAACAGGAUUAGAUACCCUGGUAGUCCACACUGUAAACGUUGAUUACUCGCUGUGUGCGAUAUACAGUACGCGGCCAAGCGAAAGCGAUAAGUAAUCCACCUGGGGAGUACGCCGGCAACGGUG